AGGGUUUGAUCCUGGCUCAGAAUGAACGUUGGCGGCGUGGAUUAGGCAUGCAAGUCGCACGAGAAACCAGUUAGCUUGCUAAGAGGUGGACAGUGGCGAAAGGGAGAGUAACGCGUGGUUACAUGCCCUCGAGACCGGGAUAGUGUUGGGAAACUGGCAGUAAUACCGGAUAACAUCUUCGGAUCAAAUGGUGUGAUUCCGCUCGAGGAUUGGACCGCGUACUAUUAGCUUGUUGGUGAGGUAACGGCUCACCAAGGCUGCGAUGGUUACCGGGUGUGAGAGCAUGGCCCGGCUCACUGGGACUGAGACACUGCCCAGACAUCUACGGAUGGCUGCAGUCGAGAAUCUUCGGCAAUGGACGAAAGUCUGACCGAGCGACGCCGCGUGCGGGAUGAAGGCCCUCGGGUUGUAAACCGCUGUCAGUUAGGAGGAAAUCCAUAGGGGUUCUCCCUUAUGGUUGACCGAUUUUCAGAGGAAGGACGGGCUAAGUUCGUGCCAGCAGCCGCGGUAAGACGAACCGUCCAAACGUUAUUCGGUAUCACUGGGCUUAAAGCGUGCGUAGGCGGCUUGGUAGGUGAGAUGUGAAAGCCCACGGCUCAACCGUGGAAUUGCGUUUCAAACCCCCAAGCUCGAGGAAGAUAGGGGUGAUGGGAACUUAUGGUGGAGCGGUGAAAUGCGUUGAUAUCAUAGGGAACACCGGUGGCGAAAGCGCAUCACUGGAUCUUUUCUGACGCUGAGGCACGAAAGCUAGGGUAGCGAACGGGAUUAGAUACCCCGGUAGUCCUAGCCGUAAACGAUGAACACUGGGUUGAGGGGACUUCCACAUCCUCUCGGCCGUAGCGAAAGCGUUAAGUGUUCCGCCUGGGGAGUAUGGUCGCAAGGCUGAAACUCAAAGGAAUUGACGGGGGCUCACACAAGCGGUGGAGGAUGUGGCUUAAUUCGAGACUACGCGAAGAACCUUAUCCUAGACUUGACAUGUUUGAGAAUCCCUUGGAAACAUGGGAGUGCCCUUCGGGGAGCUCUUGCACAGGUGCUGCAUGGCUGUCGUCAGCUCGUGUCGUGAUAUGUUGGGUUAAGUCCCGCAACGAGCGCAACCCUCGUCCUUACUUGCUAACAGGUUAUGCUGAGAACUCUAAGGAGACUGCCUGGUUUAACCAGGAGGAAGGUGGGGAUGACGUCAAAUCCUCAUGGCCCUUACGUCUAGGGCUAGACACGUGCUACAAUGGCCGGUACAACGGGCUGCAAGUCGGUGACGAC
rnacentral:rRNA from 1 species